UGGGGAAUCUUGCACAAUGGGGGAAACCCUGAUGCAGCGACGCCGCGUGAACGAUGAAGCCCUUCGGGGUGUAAAGUUCUUUCGACAGGAACGAUAAUGACGGUACCUGGAGAAGAAGCUGCGGCUAACUACGUGCCAGCAGCCGCGGUAAUACGUAGGCAGCGAGCGUUGUUCGGAGUUACUGGGCGUAAAGAGUGCGUAGGCGGCGAGCCAAGUUUGGUGUGAAAUCUCCCGGCUUAACCGGGAGGGUGCGCCGAAAACUGGUUGGCUGGAGUAUGGGAGAGGAAAGCGGUAUUCCUGGUGUAGCGGUGAAAUGCGUAGAGAUCAGGAGGAACACCUGCGGUGUAGACAGCUUUCUGGACCAAAACUGACGCUGAGGCACGAAAGCGUGGGUAGCAAACA
rnacentral:rRNA from 1 species